GGCAGAGAGAGCCCAGUUCCCGUGCCCACAAUCGGGCAUGAGGAAAGUCCCCCCACCGUCUGGACAGGUGACCGGGCGCAAGCCCGGAGUCGGAGACGGCUGGCUCUGGAACAGAAACGACACCCCUCGACCUGACCGAUGAUGUGCGUGUGGCGACUUCGGUCGUCGCCGGUACGAACGAGGUAACUCGCCCGUACGCGAACCGACCCGUAAGGGAAGGGAGAUAACCCACAGAGGGAAGACGGUCGAGAAUGGAUGGAACGGUGAAUCCUCACCGGUGCAAGUCCGCGCCGUGAAGGUAGUCCGGACGGCGCGUCGGGUUCGCCCGGCGUGCCCUCGGGGGUCGCCCCGAGAAGGACGCGGACGCUUAGCCGAAUGCUGGGACGAACAGAAGGGGGCUUACUCCUCUCAGCC
rnacentral:RNase_P_RNA from 2 species